UUCAUUUUUAUAAUUCUUUGUUUUUAUAUAAUUAGAGUCGAUAGAAUUUUGUUUAUUGAUAUGAAAGCCCUGUACUGUGACGUACAGUCAAUCCAAUGCUGAUCACUCUAACGUAUAUACAAGAAGUUAUGUUUGAUAAGUCGGUGAUGGUAGAAUUUCAAUUAUUGCAUGUUUCCGUUUUCAUCUAUUCAGAAAUGAUAGAUGUUUUCAAAUUAUUAUGUAAACCCUGUAUUGGGAUUGUCAUAUAAUUAAAUUCAUUGUACUGUGAUGGCCUUUAUGGAGUAUAAUAGUCAAUUGACAAGAAAGUCCG
rnacentral:lncRNA from 1 species